GCGCCCUUAGUACAGCGGUAACAAUGCUACAAGUACGGACGUGGCUUGAAAGAUUCGGUCCGGGGCUCGACUCCCCGAGGGCGCA